GACGAACGCUGGCGGCGUGCCUAACACAUGCAAGUCGAGCGAUGAAGUUUCCUUCGGGAAACGGAUUAGCGGCGGACGGGUGAGUAACACGUGGGUAACCUGCCUUGUAGAGGGGGAUAGCCUUCCGAAAGGAAGAUUAAUACCGCAUAAGAUUGUAGUUUCGCAUGAAACAGCAAUUAAAGGAGCAAUCCGCUACAAGAUGGACCCGCGGCGCAUUAGCUAGUUGGUGAGGUAACGGCUCACCAAGGCGACGAUCUUUAGCUGGUCUGAGAGGAUGAUCAGCCACACUGGGACUGAGACACGGCCCAG
rnacentral:rRNA from 1 species